rnacentral:rRNA from 1 species
UACGGAGGGGGCUAGCGUUGUUCGGAAUUACUGGGCGUAAAGCGCGCGUAGGCGGACCUGCAAGUCGGGGGUGAAAGCCCGAGGCUCAACCUCGGAACUGCCUUCGAUACUGCGGGUCUCGAGUCCGGGAGAGGUGAGUGGAACUGCGAGUGUAGAGGUGAAAUUCGUAGAUAUUCGCAAGAACACCAGUGGCGAAGGCGGCUCACUGGCCCGGUACUGACGCUGAGGUGCGAAAGCGUGGGGAGCGAACAGG